AAAAUCAACAUGGAGGCCUGAACUUGCAGUGAAUAUCCGGCAGGGGGAGUAGUUGUAUCAUGAAUGCACCAGUGAAUACUGAACUGGCAUUUACUGUAAAAGAGAAGUUUCAAUCCCACCCUUGCAAUCUAAAUUGUGUUUUCUAACCUACAUGUAGAAACCGGCGAUAUUUACACUUUUUCCUAAAGAGGUUAUUGCACUUUUUGGUAUCAAACUUUGAUUUCCAUAUGUAUAGUAGUGGAUGAGUAGCUGGAGUGCCAGUCUGUUUGUGAUAUCAUGCCAACUCCUUGUCACUCAUUGGCUUGACAAUGAGCAAUGUGAAAAAGACCACAACCAGAUCGGAGACCACAACCAGAUCUGAGACCACAACCAGAUCUGAGACCAGAUCUGAGACCACAACCAGAUCUGAGACCACAACCAGAUCUGAGACCACAACCAGAUGAGACCACAACCAGAUCUGAGACCACAACCAGAUCUGAGACCACAACCAGAUCUGAGACCACAACCAGAUCUGAGACCACAACCAGAUCGGAGACCACAACCAGAUCUGAGACCAUGCUAGUGGAGGAGUAUUUGUUCUGUAGUUUUUGCAACUGGACAGUUGAGACACAGUGGAUUAGAAAGUAUUCAGACCCCUUGAUAUUUCCAUGUUUUGUUACGUUAUGUUUUUUUCCCCUCAUCAAUCUACACACAGUACCCCACAAUGACAUCACAGUACCCCACAAUGACAUCACAAUACCCCACAAUGACAACGCAAAACAAGUUUAGACAUUUUUGCAAAUGUAUAAAAAUAAAAAAAAUGAAUGUCACAUUUAGAUGAGUAUUCAGACCCUUUACUCUGUACUUUGUUGAAGCACCUUUGGCAGCGAUUACAACCUCAAGUCUUCUUGGGUAUGACGCUACAAGCUUGGCACACCUGUAUUUUGGGAGUUUCUCCCAUUCUUCUCUGCAGAUCCUCUCAAGAUCUGUCAGGUUGGAUGGGGAGCGACGCUGCACAGCU
rnacentral:lncRNA from 13 species